rnacentral:rRNA from 1 species
GUCUAAGGCCAUACCAACCCGAACGCAUCUGAUUUCAUAUGAUCUCUGAAGCUAAAUAGUGUUGGGCCUGGUUAGUACUUGGAUGGGAAAAAAACUACAGACCAAUGAUCCUUAGGAA